UAACACUCAUUUAGAAAAACCUAAACAGUACUAAUAUCCAUAAACCUAUGUGAAGUUGAUUAUCUUUACACAAACAUGCAAAAUGCACUAUAAAAAUUUCAAUUGUGCUUAAUUUUGUUUGUAGAGCCAGAAUGAAGACUGGGGAGGUUUGUCUGAGGAUAUCUUAUGAUUAAGGACAAUCUAAAGCCUUAGCGCUUUGGCCCCUACCUGUACAAUUGCCACGUCAUGAAUACUUUAAUGUCCCAGUAUACUAAAUGACUUCAUUCAUCAUGCACACAGAGAGGCGCUAGAACUGAUUUUCUCAUGGCAGAACGCUUUUCCUCAGCUUGGUGAAUCCAAUCAUCCUGAACAAGCUAGUGUAUAUCACAAUUGUGUGUUUUGUUUUUGCUGUUUGUAUUUUUCCUUGUCCUUCCAUUUGCAGUGUUUGUUUUUCUUCAUAUGUUUUGUCAGCAUGCUGUAAUGUUCAUGUUAAAAUAUUUAAAUCUAUCUCAUUAGUACUUGACAUAGCAUGUAAAACUUUAGCUUCAAAUACUUUGCUUAGCCUCACUAUAUCAUUUAAAUAUUCAACCCCAUGGUAUGGUAGUCUGUCAAAAUGUAUAUAAAUCUAAUUUAUGUAGCUAUCACAUAGAAAUCCACUGAUAUUAACUUAUACACUUUAUCCCACUAAACAAAAUGUUUUCUAAGUAGCGCCUUCUAAACGUAUCAUGAAAAACAACCCUGAAGGCCCCAAAUUGUGAUAUAUGUAUAUUAAACAGAUUUGUUUCACUGCUAAAUAAGUUUAAAAAAUAAGCACAUUGAUCUUGCAUUCUCUAAAGUGUGCAUAAGGUAUUUCUUCUGCAUGUAGUCUUUCAUUAAUUUCAAUAUUUUAGAGUAGAUUUAUAUGGAUAUCUUCAAUGCAUGUAUGGAGCUGAACCUAAUGUUACAAUAGCAAUAAAAAUGUUCAUAAAUGUACAGAAGCCACUACCAAACCCUCCUGAUUUUAUUCUAAAACAAAAAGUCAUAAUAAAAAGAGAGACAUGACUGUUGUUACAAAGUUAGACUUUCAAAAUGGUAGUUAAAAAAGAAAAUGGUUUCUGCAUAUAAUUAAGUAUAGAUACAGCAUAUUAGAGACAGUCGUCAUUUCAAGCACAGGAUUAACAUUACUUCCCAUUACAUCUGGGAGGCAUGCAAGAAGCGUUUAUAUUGCAGAUCUCUCUCUCCCUCUCUGAAUGUAUAUGGUAUUGCUUCUGUGAACGUACAUGGUAAAUGCUGCUUUGCAUUCUUUUAAUGUCUGGCUCUUCAAACUGCUGCAAAUGGAGUGCUGAUAGUGGUGCAGUAUUGUUGUACCUUUAUGUAGCUGCAUGCUUGUAAAUUACUGUGGAUUUUUUUGCGCAUGACUGUAAUAAACUAUUGCAUGCA